rnacentral:rRNA from 1 species
UACGGAGGGUGCAAGCGUUAGCCGGAUUCACUGGGUUUAAAGGGAGCGUAGGCGGUCUGUCGCGUCGGCUGUGAAAACUUGGGGCUCAACCCCAAGCUUGCGGGCGAUACGGGCAGACUUGAGUACUUCAGGGGAGACUGGAAUUCCUGGUGUAGCGGUGAAAUGCGCAGAUAUCAGGAGGAACACCGGUGGCGAAAGCGGCUCACUGGACCACAACUGACGCUGAGGCGCGAAAGCUAGGGGAGCAAACAGG